rnacentral:rRNA from 1 species
UACGUAGGGUGCAAGCGUUAAUCGGAAUUACUGGGCGUAAAGCGUGCGCAGGCGGCUUUGCAAGACAGAUGUGAAAUCCCCGGGCUUAACCUGGGAACUGCAUUUGUGACUGCAAGGCUGGAGUGCGGCAGAGGGGGAUGGAAUUCCGCGUGUAGCAGUGAAAUGCGUAGAUAUGCGGAGGAACACCGAUGGCGAAGGCAAUCCCCUGGGCCUGCACUGACGCCCAUGCACGAAAGCGUGGGGAGCAAACAGG